AGCAGCUGUGGGAGGCAUGGGAGCUUGUGGGUGCUGUCAGGGUCGGCGGGCAGCCACCUUCUGGUGUGGGAGACAUCGCGGGGCCUGCCCAACGGGACCUCAUUAGACUCUGUGGCUGAGAAAGUCAGGAAACAAAGUCAAGUAACAAAGUCAGGAAACCCUCGGGAUGAGGGUGUGUCCUGAACAAAAACGACCUCAUCCUCAGCAGAAGCCUUUCUACAGGGUGGUGGGAAAGGCUAGAAGGAUAUGGUCGUGUGAAGCACCCGCAUCCCAGAGAAGAAGGCAGUUUUUUUAUGUCAUGGAAAUGACACCAUUGUCAUUUGCCUUCAAGCUUGGGCCACCUUCCAGCUGCGCCCUGGUCCAGACAAUACCUCCUUAGCACAGGAAAUGACUUGGCUGGAACCGUCGACGGCACUCUGGGAGCAUUCUCCAUAAUGGAUUAAAUGACCACCUUUGCAAGACUGCACUUAGAGCUUCCCUCUCUCAAGGAAAGCUGAACAGCAUCUUUCCUCCACACGUCAUCAACCCUGUGUGUGAUAUAACUUCUCUGUCUUUCCAAACCAGGAGCUCUUUAUCCAUGAAGGCAAUCAGUUUUGUUAAAUGAGUUAAGGUGUAUUCCUAGUUUUUCAUUUGUCUUCGGACUUUGCUCUUGGUGAUUUUAGAAGUGUGCAGGGCUUUGAAUCCAGCUGAAUCUUCUGGCUGAAUGUAAGGUGUGUGAUGCACAUCUUAUCUCUGUUCCCGAGAAAUGCUCUAAACUGACCAUAAUGAAUGCAGAGCAUAAAACUGUGAGGACACAAAGCCAAGGCGGGAAUUUGGUGGCAAACUAGAAGACUUUGGGAGACACACAGUGAGCUGAGGAGGGUGCAGGCUGAUGCAGCCCACAGAGGGAACCAGCAGGAGCAAGCCAGACCCAGAAGAGCUCAGAAAUCGGGGUCGCUGCUAUGUCCAAACGAAAAGCUGAGAAGUGUGAUGAGACACAGGAUGAUUGGUUGAAAGGAGCUAUUUAUCCUCAAAAGAAACUGAGCUUGCGGAGCCCUGGUCACGGAACUUCUGAGGAUAUGGACAAGGCAAACACCGGAGACAGAAGUUACCGUGUUCUGUCAACACUAACAUGUUCAUUUUCACAGCUUUGGAAUCAGAAUGUUUCUAUCAUUUGUUUCUUAGAAUUUUAGUUGGAAGCAUUGUAUCAACCUUAGCUUCUUCUGCCCUUCAUAUCUAAGAUUCUGGCAGACAGGCUUAUCAUCGCCUUCAUUCCCGGCCCCAACACACCCACACCCAGAAAAGUGACAUCACAGCUCAAACACAAAUCCUGCAGAUGAAAACAUCCGGCCUGCCCCACCAUGCCCUGGACUUUGGUCGUUGACAAACCAAUAAACACCCACGGAAUUAACAGUCGAUCUUUUAGUGCCUUCCUCUUAAAUAAAAACCGAUACCUAAAAGUCACCAGACUUCUGGGGAACCUCUAACAGAGCACAGAGCAAAACCUAUGGGAACAAAGACAAACAAGAAAAGGAAAAAUUACAGAACUCACAAGAAGGGAGAGAUGGGAGGGGGCAAAAGAAAACUUCAAAUGAAUCAUAAGUAACACUUUGAAGGAAGACAGAAGAAGAUGUCAUAUUCUUUUUUUUUUAAUGUUUUAUUUAUUUAUUCAUGAGAGUCAGAGAGAGAGAGAGAGGCAGAAGCAGAGGGAGAAGCAGGCUCCCCGCCUAGCAGGGAGCCCGAUGCGGGACUCGAUCCCAGGACCCCGGGAUCAUGACCUGAGCCGAAGGCAGACGCUUAACCAUCUGAGCCACCCAGGUGCCCCAAAGAUGUCAUAUUCUUGAAGAAAGGAAGACAAAGACAUGGGUCAGGAGCCAGGAUCUGGUCCCGUGGGCUUACCUGGCUCAUCAGGACUCGCCUGGGGGACUCCCACGUGGUUACUGUCGGACGUUGGCAGAGACUGGAGUCACUGGAAGCCUCAGUGGAUGGACACACAAGAAGCCAUUUCUCUGGUACAUCUGUGCCUGGCUGCUAGUGGAAUGGCCUGAGAAUGGCCAGGCAUCGUUUUCUGUCCACACAGCAGCCCCACAUGCUGACUUGCACAUCCUCACACCAGACCAACAUCUUCCCCCAGAGCAGGUGUUGGAGGGUUAAAGCACAAGACUCCUUACAACAUAGCCUCAGAAGACCCAGAGUAUCGCUUCUACCACAUUCUUGGUCAGCCUAGCCCCAAUUCAAGAGGAGAAAACCAAGAGAAGUCAUGAAAGCUGAAAGGUUUAGUUCAUUGGGCGCCAUCUUUGUAUGUGAGCUCCCACAUCAACCCAACGAAGUAACGCAAGAAAAACGCCAUGUUGGGUGAGAAGGUGUAUGUAAAAAUAAUUGCAUGGUGGAGAGCAAUAUUCAGGUCCUAAUAACCAAGUAAACACUAGACAUUGAUUUAACUCAACAGCAGGUAUGCCAGGCUGAGAGAACAUGGCUGGGGCUGUGGUGUGGGGUUAGGUGGGGCGCAGAACGCAGGUAAACAGUGAAAUAGUUAAAAGCAGUUUUCUGUGGGGAGAGACAGUCAGGACUAGGGAAGGAGAUUAUGGUUCCUUAUUCUAAAACGCAAUGCACUUGUUAAACUUUUUAAACCAUUUCCACAUAUUAAUUUGAUAAAAAUACAAAUGUACCCUAAAUGUUAAAAACUAUGCCAUUUUGAAUAGUAAGGGAAAUAAUCUGGUUUACAAACUUAAUCCUGAGGGAAAACAAAUGUCCUGGAUAUUCUAGAACAGGACUAGUUUCAGAUACGUGGUUCCCUUUUCACCAGAGAUCUACUCUUCCUCUCGUGGAUGCUACUUCCUUCUCAGGGAAAGGGGUCUUCCUUCUGGAAGCACCUCUGUAGCUGGAGGACCCUCACAGAAAUAAGCAGAUGUGAGCAUGUGGGCACAAUAAAGCAACUUAUAGGAGCCAUAGGGAGUAUUUAGAAAAAAGGCAAAUCCUUCCCGGGAAAAUAAAAUGCCUUUGCUCAUAAAUUCCAAAUUACACCUGUUCCUUAAAAAUGGCAGAAGAGAAGAUAACUCUGCAUAAACUUGCUGCAGGAGACACCGUUGUGGUCAGUUGCGGGCCGUCGACCAGUUCCCAACACAGAGUAUACUCAAUAAAAUAGAAGUUUCCUCUAAUGAACUUGAAUUUUACUAUCUAUGCUUGGCUUUGUGAAUUACACCCAAAAGACUUGUGGAGGGUUUUAUUGCUAAUCAUGUUAUUAAGUGUCACACAGAGGGAAGAACAAAUUCUUUCCGGAUUGAUUUACCCCCAAAAAAGUAGUAUCUUAAAGAGGAUUGCCAGUCAGAAGUUGUACGUUAUGAAUAACUUAGUCAGAUUGAAACUUUCUCCAUUCACUUAGCACAGUCAUAAAAAUAUAUUCUUGCCUCAAUCUGGAGGACUUAAAGUAUAACAUCCCAAAUAUAUAAAUUUUACGAUAGCCUAGCACCAUUAAUUUUUAUUGUUGUAAGAAUACAUUUCCAGGGAGGCAUAAACAAAGGGCAUAACAGGAAGCUACGUUUGGCUGGUUUGGGCAUCUGUAUUAUCUGCUCACAAACCUGUAAGCAUUUUCAGUUCCAAGGACAAUGUGGUUUUGACCAAUAAACGGAAAUUCUACUUUUCUUUCAUGAGUUGUAAUCACUAGAACCCAACGCUGUUCCCGUCCUGGCUUGGAUGGGACGAGCGCGCUCCACUCCGGUUUUUGUUUUGUUUUUUGCUUUUUUGUGGAAUGUGGCUAUGAAACCAAAACAAAAUCCGUGCUGCAGCUUUUUGAGGACACUUAAUAGUGAAUGGUGUCACCUCACACCAUUUAGGAUGGCCACUAUUGAAGGAAUGGGAGACGAGAAGCGUUGGCGAGGACGUGGAGAACUUGGGCCCCUCCUGCACCAUUGCUGGAAAGGUAAGAUGGUACCGUCAUUAUGGAAAACAGCAUGGAGAUUCCUUAAAAAACCCUCUCAUUCAGCAAUGCCACUUCUGGGUACAUAUUGAAAGAAUGCAAAGCAGGAUCUCAAAAAAUUAUUUGUUCAUUCAUGUUCGUCGCAGCAUUAUUCCACAAUAACCAAGAGGUGGAAGCAACCCAAACAUCUAUUUAUUGAUUAGCCUAUAGACAAAAUAUGAUACAUACAUAACAUAGAAUAUCAUGGAGCCUUUAAAGAGCAGGAAAUCCCAACACAGGCUUCAACAUGGAUGAACCUUAAGAACAUUACAGUACGUAUGUCACAGAAAGACAGAUACUACAGGAUUCCACUUACAUAAAGCAUCUAAAGCUCAUAAAGUCAGGCUCAUAGAGACAGAAAGUGGAACAGUGGCUGCCAGGGGCUGGGGCUGGGAAGGGAGAGUUCAUGUUUAAUGGGGAAGAGUUUAAGUUUUGCGAGAUGGAAAGAGUUCUGAAGUCAGCUGCCCCAAAUGUGAAACAUACUGAACACGCCUGACCCUCAUAAUGAACUGAAGGCUGAGAUGGUUAAUUUAAUGUUGUGUAUUUUUACCAUCGUAAAAAAAUAUAACUAACUAAAUAAGUAAAGGUAGUUGGCAGAUUGGAGAAGACCAAAAUUCAGAGUACCACUGAGCCCGUGGGAGGAGCAAAUGGGAGUUUCCAUUUCUCCUCUAACAUCCCCAGCUUGAAGUCAAGGCAUCCCGAUGCCCAGACGUGGGCACUUGGGCACAGAAGCAGACCUAGGCCACGCAGGACAGGGUGUUGUCACCACGGCCCCCGCUUUCUGGCCACGGGACACAGAGGGGAGCGAUGCAAAGCCAGAUAGUACCAGGGGGACUGGGGAAGGGAGGGAGCACACGAACAAGACCCCCACAGAGCUGUUUAUGAACUUUUGAUCAGCCUCACACCAGAGGUCGCACACGUGUGGACUCAAUCCUAAUAGGAAAACAAAGACUUUGAGAGUAAAUCAAAGGACUGACCAGCACACGGGUCCCAGACUGUCUGGAUAGCAAUGCAGAGCCUUUCCGAACUGAACCGACAUGGGAGCCAACACGCACACAGGCUGGUAGGAACCCGAAGCCUGAAUCCAAGGAGGUGGACCAUCCACUGGAGGGAACACGGCAGCAUUCCAGAGAGAGCAUCCACCAGACACAGCUUCGGAACAGGAGACGCAAAGCGAGCAGGAUACAACGCUGGCUGAGCGUGGAUGCGGUUUCCGGAUUCUCCACAAUGUAUCACAUCUCACAGCACUGAACAUCCGGGGAGAGACUCUGUUACUGUGUAUGCCCCGUAAAGACGUUGAAAUGCCAAUACAAUACUGGUCUCGGUCUGUUCCGGCCACUCUCAGGAAAUCCCACAGUCUGGCCGGGGUAUCAACAAGAGUUUCUGGAGACUGAACAUCUGUGAUCAGGUGUCUGCAUGAUCCCGAUCGGCUUCUGGGGAAAUGGGAUAUUUUGCCAUCACUGCACGGGUUGGAAGGGGCGAGGGAGCUCUGUGGGGUCCCCUUUUAUAAGGGUGCUAGUCCCAUUCACCUCCUGCACCGCCUAAGGGACAUGCGUCAGAUUCCGCCUCGGAGCCCAUCACCUCGAGGGUUAGUGACGGCAGGAUGAAGCCCUCCAGCUAAGCGAGCCCUUGCUUGGAGGGUGGCUUCUCUCCGCGGCACUGCCAUCGAUUCGGAGUAAUGUCAGAAUUUCUAAAAACUUUCCAAACCAACCAUUUGGAGCAAUGUCAGAAUUUCUUUUCUUUUCUUUUUUUUUUUUUAAAGAUUUUAUUUAUUUAUUUGACAGAGAGAUACACAGUGAGAGAGGGAACACAAGCAGGGGGAGUGGGGGAGGGAGAAGCAGGCUUCCCGCGGAGCAGGGAGCCCGAUGCGGGCCUCGAUCCCAGGACCCUGGGAUCAUGACCUGAGCCGAAGGCAGACGCUUAACGACUGAGCCACCCAGGCACCCCCAUUAGUUUUUAAAAGAAGCCAUUUCUAGGACUGGAGGCCAUUCAAUUCUCAAGGUGUGAAAGAAAGCGCCGAGAGCUGUACGGGGCAUCGGGGAGCAGAGGAAUUCAGAGAGUCCCCAUCUCCACCUGUUUUAUUUAUUUUAUUUAUUUAUUUAUUUAUUUUUUAAAGAUUUUAUUCACUUGACAGAGAGAGACACAGCGAGAGAGGGAACACAAGCAGGGGGAGUGGGGGAGGGAGAAGCAGGCUUCCUGCCAAGCAGGGAACCCAAUGCGGGGCUCGAUCCCAGGACCUGAAAUCAUGACCUGAGCCGAAGGCAGACGCUUAACGACUGAGCCACCCAGGCGCCCAAUGUCAGGAUUUCUAAAAUGCUACGGAGGACACGUGUCCUAGGCACAAGUCUGAUUUUCUACCUAGGAUGCAUGCAAACCGAGGAGUCAGGGUAGGAAAAGGCGGUGCUUCACAAAAGAGAGAAAAACGAAGAAGCGAAGCCUUCCUUUCAUUACUGUUCUUGGGGGUCUUCACUAAAAUUAUUGAAAUUCCUUAGUAAACUGGCAAACAAAUACAGCACAGCCCAGUAUUAGAAUUUGGACAUUAUUAACUUUCUAGACUCACGGGGAUUCCUGCUAAGCCCCUGAAUGUUGCAUUUUAACCUCAAGGAUGUGUUUGGUUCAUCCUGAACAACCUUUCCUUAUAGGAUAUUUGCCUCAAAACCAGUCAUGGCUCAGAGAGAAAUCAUGGCAAGAAAGAAAAAUAUCCCAUGGUUUUUGUUUGCCUGUAUUUUAACUGCAGGGCGCCAUCUGCUGACCAUACACUUCUGACUCUUUUUUUUUUUUUUUUUU